rnacentral:rRNA from 1 species
UUAGGAAUCUUGGGCAAUGGGCGAAAGCCUGACCCAGCAACGCCGCGUGGGUGAUGAAGGCCUUCGGGUCGUAAAGCUCUUUUCCCGGGGAAGAUGAUGACGGUACCCGGGGAAUAAGCCCCGGCUAACUACGUGCCAGCAGCCGCGGUAAUACGUAGGGGGCGAGCGUUGUCCGGAUUUAUUGGGCGUAAAACGCUUGUAGGCGGCCACAUCGCGUCGUGCGUGAAAUCUCCCGGCUCAACUGGGAGGGGUCGUGCGAUACGGAUGGGCUCGAGGCCGGUAGGGGGACGCGGAAUUCCCGGUGUAGUGGUGGAAUGCGUAGAUAUCGGGAGGAACACCAGUGGCGCAGGCGGCGUCCUGGACCGGCACUGACGCUGAGGAGCGAAAGCGUGGGGAGCGAUCCGGAUUAGAUACCCGGGUAGUCCACGCCGUAAACGGUGCGGCACUAGGUGUCGGGGGUAUCGACCCCUCCGGUGCCGCAGCUAACGCAUUAAGUGCGCUGCCUGGGGAGUACGGCCGCAAGGCUAAAAC